UAUUUAUAAAAAAAAGAGUAUAUAAACAUGCCAUAGAAAUAAUUAAAAUUAUUCUAUGGAAAUUUAAUAAUUUUUAAGUUUCUGAAUCGAUAAGUUUGUAAUUCCCGAAUCCGUUUCGAAUGCACACAACUUUUAUCAAUUGGAGGAAGAUUAUAGCUAUCGCGCACCAAGAGAUUCGUCGGCGGAGCAGUAAGAAAGUGUUCAAAAGUCACGAUUCAUUCCAAGAAAUGCGCAAUAUGGAAAAAAUAAAAAUCUGCGGCUGAAAUCGAGUCCUUGAGGAAUGGAGGAAGGAGAUAGCAAAGAGAAAACAUGUCACUUUAUAGAAGAAUAUUCGUCUGAUCGAUAACCGAAUAUCUGUCCGGAUAUGGAUAGAUAAGACUGCAAUAAGUUAAUAAAUUUAUUAGACAAGACGCGAUAGACUAUUUUGCUACCUAUUACCGCGGAUUGCUACCGAUUGCGCAAAUUCCCACUCGCGUACAUAAUCUAAUUAUGAUCGAGGAAAGGUGUCGAGCGAACCAUAUGUGCGAAUAAACCUGAAGCAAACGCCAAAAAAGAGAAAACAAAGAAAUUACUCUAACGACUUUAAUCGGAGCUUUCGUGUGUCCUUAUGGAUAUUACUGCCUUGCGACAUGUCCACAAGGUGCAUUCGUACGGCGCGUUAUCUCGCUACGCGGGGCGUCGCAUGUCGCGAGUUCCAUGUGUCAGGGGCAUGAGAGUCACAUGGGAAGCAUGUCCGCCGUGUCCGCCAUGGUUUUCGGAGAAACUCGCUCGCGCCUUCGCGCGCCAAAAAGGACCGGCGAGAGGAGUAUCCAGAAGCUGGAAAAGGCGUGACUAAGGUGUUAAUCCAGACGAGACGUUGCGCCUCGUGACGAAUAAAAUUAUUAUAGCUUACUACGAGAGACAAAACAGUAGUUAGAAUCGCUACGGUUGAAAGAGCACCUAUGUGCGAUCCACUGGAUGGAGACUGUGUACCAGUAGCAGCAGCGCUUUCUGCGUUAAGUAAAUUCUC